rfam:Asian citrus Psyllid, Diaphorina citri - Florida Strain, whole genome shotgun sequence.
GCUCCCAUGGCGUAGUGGUCACUGCACUCGCCUUACAUGUGGGAGACCCGGGUUCGAUUCCCGGCGGGGUCA